GACAGAGGGUGCAAACGUUGUUCGGAAUUACUGGGCGUAAAGCGCAUGUAGGCGGCCACGCAGGUCGGAUGUGAAAUCCCUCGGCUCAACCAAGGAAGUGCAUUCGAAACCGCAUGGCUGGAGUCCCGGAGAGGGUAGUGGAAUUCUCGGUGUAGAGGUGAAAUUCGUAGAUAUCGAGAGGAACACCGGCGGCGAAAGCGGCUACCUGGACGAGGACUGACGCUGAGAUGCGAAAGCGUGGGGAGCAAACAGG
rnacentral:rRNA from 1 species